rnacentral:rRNA from 1 species
GACAAGAAAUAACAAUACGGGGCUUUCGUCUUGUAAUUGGAAUGAUGGUGAUGUACAACCUCACCAGAGCACCAAUUGGAGGGCAAGUCUGGUGCCAGCAGCCGCGGUAAUUCCAGCUCCAAUAGCGUAUAUUAAACUUGUUGCAGUUAAAAAGCUCGUAGUUGUAUUUCAGCCUCGCGUUUUUUCCCUGGUUUUGGGUCUUUUCGCUGGCUUUUUUUUUACUUUGAGAAAAUUAGAGUGUUUCAAGCAGACUUUUGUCUUGAAUACUUCAGCAUGGAAUAAUAGAGUAGGACCUUGGUUCUAUUUUGUUGGUUUUGAGCCUUGGUAAUGGUUAAUAGGAACGGUUGGGGGCAUUCGUAUUUAACUGUCAGAGGUGAAAUUCUUAG